rnacentral:rRNA from 1 species
GACGAAGGGGGCGAGCGUUGUUCGGAAUCACUGGGCAUAAAGCGCACGUAGGCGGCCAAGUCAGUCAGGUGUGAAAGCCCUCGGCUCAACCGAGGAACUGCGCCUGAUACUGCUUGGCUUGAGGUCCGGAGGGGAGAGUGGAAUUCCCGGUGGAGCGGUGAAAUGCGUAGAGAUCGGGAAGAACACCAGUGGCGAAGGCGGUCUGCUGGGCCGUUGCUGACGCUGAGGCGCGACAGCGUGGGGAGCAAACAGG